rnacentral:rRNA from 1 species
CAGCCGCCACGGGAAUACAGAGGGUGCGAGCGUUAAUCGGAUUUACUGGGCGUAAAGCGUGCGUAGGCGGCUUCUUAAGUCGGAUGUGAAAUCCCCGAGCUUAACUUGGGAAUUGCAUUCGAUACUGGUUAGCUAGAGUGUGGGAGAGGAUGGUAGAAUUCCAGGUGUAGCGGUGAAAUGCGUAGAGAUCUGGAGGAAUACCGAUGGCGAAGGCAGCCAUCUGGCCUAACACUGACGCUGAGGUACGAAAGCAUGGGGAGCAAACAGGAUUAGAUACCCCCGUAGUCCCUGUCUCUUAUAU